rnacentral:lncRNA from 1 species
GGGCGAGGUCGCUCUGCCCCGUGAAAUUAAAAAAUAAAUAAAUACAUAAUUACAAAAGGGAAAGGCAGCAAAUCAUUCACAGACGCAUGUACCAACCCUAAUCUUUUCCAAUUUCCACUUCCAUUUGGACCAUUUCCUCUCGUCUCUGCCUCUCAUAGUCAGUCUUACUCUCACGCCCGUCAGCCGCCUCCUCUCUCUCACUCGUUGUGUAGCUGUAACUUCGAUAGUUUUUAAUUAAACACUACCAUAGUUUUUCACCUAGAUCUCCAUACGCUGUGUCAUCGUCGAGUUUAUUUUUGCCUACAGGUCAUAUGGUCCACAUCUUCCUUUAUUGCCAACACCCGCCAAUUCCAAGCCCAAGGUGAAAGAAUAUCUAAAGAAUUUCAUCACAUCUAAAAGUUAAGAUUGAUUAGUAUUUUUUAUUUCUAUAUUUUUACUUAGCAUUUUCAAUGGUAAACCUGUAAUUUGCACAUACACAUGAAUCAGGGGAGAUUAUAGUGAAAAAUGACUAGCGUAUUACAUAGUGAAAAAGGGAUGAAGAUCAGCACUUGUUAAUUAGUGUUUUGUUCUCUUUAUGAAUGGUAGUGACAGUGAAGGGAAAUUGUAAUUGCUUCUGUACUAGUUUGUUUAUGUUUUGAAUUUGGUUGACUUUGAUUCCCUUAAAUAAUUUUGUGUUUCACUUUUUGUAGUUUUUUCAGUGGUUUCUGAACAGUCAUUUAUGAUAUCUAUUGUUGAAUUUCUGUAUAGAUCACAUUAUUUAGGUUUAAUAUAAUUCAUCUUUAUCAAUCCUCUUUUCCCGAGUUAUGGAAAAUCUAGUUUCAUUUGGCUGAUUUUACAGGCUUCAUCUUUGAUAAGAUACAUUAUAUGCUGUAAAAAGAGAAAGUUAAAGGAAUUUCAGUUAUUUAGAAUCUUACUUGUCUAGGUCCAUCUAUGGGUGAAAAACUAACAGUAGGCUUAUGUAUGGUAGUGUUUAAUUGACAAGGUAUUAUAUAUUUGCAUUAAUGUGGAAAUGAGAAAAAGGAAAAAUUCACUCUCUUGCAAACUUCGCCAAUUCAGUCAUGGGCUUCAUUUUUGUUUAUUAUAUGUACAUAAAUAUGAUUUUCAUGUCAAAGUAGAAAAUUCAUUGUGUUUAAUGUCGUUUGUUAUUUGCACAGAUGUAUGGCCCAAGUAGUGCUGGAAGUAUUGGAUUAGGACCAAUACGCGAGGAAGAUAGCACGACCGAUAUAACGGAGAGUAAUGUCCUGCAAGAAUAUCUAGCUGAACCGUUAUCAAAUGCAGAUAAAAGGACAAUAAAUCUAAGCGACGAGUAGCGUGACAUUAGAGAACUAUCAUUUGGAAAGAGGAAAUUGACUUCAAUUGUGUAGGAGCACUACAAAAGACAGAAAAGUGGUAAGAAAAUGAAGGCUAUAUGCAAUCAUUGCAAGAAACGGUUAGAGGGUGAAACAAAAAGUGGUACAAUGUAUUUGCAUGAUCGUUUGAAGAGAUGUGUAUUCCGUUAUAAGGAUAAUACUCACCAAGCAACAUUAAAUUUCAAAAAGGAUGACAUGAGUGGCAUGGUCACAGUAGGUCUUACUCUUUCGAUCCAGGUAAGUGUAGAUAUAGUCUUUUGAAAAUGGUGAUUUUGCAUGAGUAUCCUUUAUCUAUGGUUGAUCACAUUGGAUUUCGAGAGAUCUUGCACGUCCUACAACCAUUGUUUCUCUCAACACUUUGAAUAGUGACAUUUUGAAAAUCUAUGAAUACGAGAGAGUCAAAAAUAUGAUGAGCUUGAGAAGAUUGAGAGUUAAAUUUCAAUCACUACCGACAUGUGGACCUUUUCUAAUCAAAAGAAAGGAUUCAUGGCUAUCAUUGCUCAUUUCAUAAAUGAUGCGUGGAACCUACAGAGUCGAAUCAUGAGGUGUAAUAAAACAUUGCAUUCACUUGUUUUCAUAAUUUACCAAAAUGAUAUUCUUUUAGUUGAUUUAAUUUGUUAUUGAAUGAACUCAGAUUUAUAUAUGUGCUGUGC